rnacentral:lncRNA from 1 species
AUUCUGGAAUGUUGUAGUAAUGCUUGUGCCUUUGAGUUGCAGUGUGGCCAAAUGUACAGGACAAAACACAAUUCGAAAAUGAACUCCGGCAUUAUUCUGGGAAAGACAAGGGGAAUCUAUGGAAGCUGGUCAUUCUUCCUAGCUCAGACCUGGAGUAGGAUGAUUGGGCUUCCCAAGGGUGGCAGCACCAGCAAGGCUGGCAGCAACUAUCUCCUGUGGAAAGUCAAGCACAUCUUUACGGAUUGCUUACUCUGUGCCAGGGAUUGUGCCCUGGGGAUACUAUCUUGUCAUCAUAGUCACAUCUACAUCUUUAUUAAAUGUUUCCGUCAGUCCGUGCUUGCUGGGUGCUCCAAGGGAGUUAACUGGAGUCAACAGUGGCCUCCCUGAACUCUGUGGAAAAGACAAUUUGCAUACGCUUCUUCUAUUACAGUGUUCAGUGUUUGGAAAUGAGCAGUCUUGCAUUGUUAUGCAAACUCCAAGGUACAGCUGAAGGACUGUGGCCAGUAGAUUCACAGUUGUGUGAUCCUUGGAUUUUUAGAUCUACCAGGCAGGCAGUGGUAAAGUGCAUUUUAUCACAGUGUGUCCAGGAGACAUUUGAUGGAGCAGAACCCAGCUCUCUGCAUCUGAGCCGGAUCUCCUUGCCAGAGCUCUGCAAGAAUGAUUUUUUGUUUCCGCCCCCAUGUUGGCAAGAGAGUCUCAGGCAUCUGAAUGCAGCAGGACAGGACACAUCUUGUAAAGAAUCUCCAGAAAGGAACACAACCCUUCCGACACCUUGAUUUUAGUCCAGUGAGAGCCAUGUUGGACUUCUGAUCUUCAGAAUUGUAAGAGGUAGAAAGAAAUCGAUUGCUUUGGUUUUCUGAUAGCACAAACCUGGCUGCAGAUCUGAAACAGAAUGAACUGGCAUUAGAGUGAUAGCAGGCCAGCCUGCCAACAGCACCCUUUCUCAUGACAGCAAGCUAAUGCUGGAAAUGGUCAGGACAAAGGUCUAAGUUUGUAAUCAACUGCAAACGUGGACUCUUCCAUUCGGAUAGCACUUGUUCUCCUCCAGCUGAAAGAAAAGGACAAGAAUGGAUGUUUUCUUAGCAACUACAGUGCUGGAUCAUCACAUAUCUCAUCUGAUCUUAACACAAGUACUCUGUGAGUUUCUAGAUUUCUUCUCAAGAUUUGUGACAGCUGAGUAAGCGAAUAUUUUCUUGUUUUGGAUCUUCCAUACUGCACUUCUUGAAUCUUCUUAUAAGAAACGAUUAUAUCUUCUUCAUCUUUGAUCACCUUCAGUUCCUAAUAAAAUGUCUUG